GGGGAUGCAGCUUAGUGACAGAACAUGUACUUAGCAUGUGCAAGACCCUGGGUUCAAUCCCCAGCACCACCA
rnacentral:tRNA from 1 species